rnacentral:rRNA from 1 species
AUUGAACGCUGGCGGCAUGCUUUACACAUGCAAGUCGAACGGUAACAGGCCUUCGGGUGCUGACGAGCGGCGAACGGGUGAGUAAUGCAUCGGAACGUACCCAGAGGUGGGGGAUAACGCAGCGAAAGCUGUGCUAAUACCGCAUGUGAUCUGAGGAUGAAAGCGGGGGACCGAGCAGCAAUGUUUGGCCUCGCGCCUUUGGAGCGGCCGAUGUCGGAUUAGCUAGUUGGUGGGGUAAAGGCCUACCAAGGCGACGAUCCGUAGCUGGUCUGAGAGGACGACCAGCCACACUGGGACUGAGACACGGCCCAGACUCCUACGGGAGGCAGCAGUGGGGAAUUUUGGACAAUGGGCGCAAGCCUGAUCCAGCAAUGCCGCGUGCGGGAAGAAGGCCUUCGGGUUGUAAACCGCUUUUGGCAGGAACGAAACGGUGUCGGCUAAUACCGGGCGCUAAUGACGGUACCUGCAGAAUAAGCACCGGCUAACUACGUG